rnacentral:rRNA from 1 species
AGUGAACGCUGGCGGUAGGCCUAACACAUGCAAGUCGAACGGCAGCACAGUAAGAGCUUGCUCUUACGGGUGGCGAGUGGCGGACGGGUGAGGAAUACAUCGGAUUCUACUUUUUCGUGGGGGAUAACGUAGGGAAACUUACGCUAAUACCGCAUACGACCUACGGGUGAAAGCAGGGGAUCUUCGGACCUUGCGCGAUUGAAUGAGCCGAUGUCGGAUUAGCUAGUUGGCGGGGUAAAGGCCCACCAAGGCGACGAUCCGUAGCUGGUCUGAGAGGAUGAUCAGCCACACUGGAACUGAGACACGGUCCAGACUCCUACGGGAGGCAGCAGUGGGGAAUAUUGGACAAUGGGCGCAAGCCUGAUCCGGCCAUACCGCGUGGGUGAAGAAGGCCUUCGGGUUGUAAAGCCCUUUUGUUGGGAAAGAAAAGCAGCAGGUUAAUACCCCGCUGUUCUGACGGUACCCAAAGAAUAAGCACCGGCUAACUUCGUG